AGUUAUUAAUAAUUUGAGAAGUAGAGAAGCCAAGCGGAAAUCCAGACUGGAAAAGAAGUGCUUACCAUUUGAAAAAAAAAAAAAAAAAGCCAGUGUGGUUGUUCACAGCUGUAAUCCCAACACUUGGAGACUGAGGCGGGAGAAAUACAUGAAACCAGGAGUUUGAGACCAGCCUGGGCAAUACAACAAGAUCCUUGUCUCUACAACAAGAAAAAAAAAAAUGUAAAAAAGGAAACAAGCUUUAAACCUAAAUGGCAGAAUUCAAGACUGUUAUCCUUGAGAACUUCCCGGCUCUGGAAAAAGCUCAGUGAGUGAGUCUCAUCCUGUUGUUAGCUCCAUUUUUUAGGGGCUCACUUUGUCUUAACGACAGUGCCUCUGCACCAUUCUCAUGGGCAUCCCAGGGUGGUACAAGGCAGUUUUCUGCACUUCCCAGAAUGCCCUGUUGGCUGGCUUCUGGGUAGGUUCUGCAAAUUGGAGGCUCCUGUGAAAGAUUGCUGUGGGGUGGGAGGAAGAAGCCUGUUUAUCUGCCUGCUGACUGCAGGGUAGUGACUGCAGUGGGGUUAUAGGGAUCACCACCUGCACAUGUGGUGCUUUGAGCAGCUUCACUCUUAAGUGUCUGCUCAACAGUGGCAGCCCUGGAGUCCUGGAGCGAGUGUGGGCUCCGGGCCAGGGGCAGUCCCAGCUUCCUGAUCUCUAGGUAGCAUCUCCUCCCUUUUGCUCUAUAGCACCUCUGCCUUUUCAGUCACACACCUCCUUCUCAGUCAUGCGCCUCCAGCGCUGACAAUACCCUUGAAAACAAUUCUCGGCCAGGCGCAGUGACUCAUGCCUGUAAUCCCAACACUUUGGGAGGCUGAGGCAGGCAGAUCGCUUGAGAGGUCAAGAGUUCAAGACCAACCUGGGCAACAUGGUCAAACCCCUUCUCUACUAAAAAUACAAAAAUUAGCCAGGCCCAAUGUGGUGGCUCACGCCUGUAAUCCCAAUACUUUGAGAGGCCAAGGUGGGCGGAUUACCUGAGGUCAGGAGUUGGAGACUAGCUUGGCCAACAUGGGUAACAUCCCAUCUCUACUAAAAAGACAAAAAUUAGCCAGGCGUGGUGGCACAUACCUGUGAUCCCAGCUACUUGAGAUUGAAGCAGGAGAAUUGCUUGACCUCAGGAGACAGAGGUUGCAGUGAGAUGAGAUCGUGCCACUGCUCUCGAGCGUGACCGACAGAGUGAGACUCUGUCGCCAAAAAAAAAAAAAAAAAUGUCCGGGCACAGUGGCUCACGCCUGUAAUCCCAGCACUUUGGGAGGCCAAGCCGGGCAGAUUACCCGAGGUCAGGAGUUCGAGACCAGCCUGGCUAACAUGGUGAAAUCCCAUCUCUACUAAAAGCACAAAAAUUAGCCAGGCAUGGUGGCACACACCUGUAAUCCCAGCUACGCAGGAGAAUUGCUUGAGCCCAGGAGACAGAGGUUACAGUGAGCCAAGAUCAUGCCACUGCACUCCAGCCUGGCUGACAGAGUGAGACUCUGUCGCAAAAAAAAAAAAAAAAGUCCGGGCGCAGUGGCUCACGCCUGUAAUCCUAGCACUUUGGGAGGCCGAGGCAGGUGGACCACCUGAGGUCAGGAGUUCAAGACCAGCCUGUCCUACAUGGUGAAACCCUGUCUCUACUAAAAAUACAAAAAUUAGCCAGGUGUGAUGGUGCAUGCCUGUAAUCUCAGCUACUUGGGAGGCUGAGGCAGAAUAAUCACUUGAACCCAGAAGAUGGAGGUUGCAGUGAGCCAAGAUUGUGCCACUGAACUCCAACCUGGGCAACAGAGCGAGACUCCCUCUCAAAAAGAAAAAAAAAAA
ensembl:lncRNA